rnacentral:tRNA from 2 species
UAGAACUGUUUGGUAGCUGACAAGGCUCAUAACCGUGGGGUUGCGGGUUCGAUUCCC